CUGAAGGAAGUAGAAAGGACGGGAACUGGUCAGUCAACAGCAUUCAGGUGCCAAGUCGUGAACACACUGCGGGGAGGAGACCGGUGACAGAAAGUGACUGGAGGACACAGGAAUCCCUAAAAGAUCGAAAAAAUGUUCUCCGCAAACUAAACAAAGUUAGAUUGAGAAAUGCAGCAUGGUACCAUGGGGGCCUGGUUCGGCCCUGACCCGCUGCCCGCAGGCGCCGGCCUCAGACGCUCAGAGCAGCCUGGGGAGAGAGGGGACACUUUGACUUUUCAAGAUCUAAGAGUUAUGGUUCCCUUUUGGCAAAAUGCUUUUUGUCCUGUGAUAACACUUGAGUCCUUUGUGGUAGCACCGAUUGUGGCCUUGGCAGCCCAGAAUCCCAUGGACAGAGGAGCCUGACAGGCUGCAGUCCAUGGGGUCGCAAAGAGUUGGACACAAGUGAAGUGACUUAGGAGGCAUGCACUGGGAUGACAGACCUGUAACAUCAUUAAAGAAACAUAGGGAUCCCAGAAUGACAAGACUGAACUCUGCCUUCAAAACAGAACAGGAGGAAAAAUGGCUGCUGGGGACCUAGAUGGCCUUGC